UCUCCGUUGGUGAACCAGCGGAGGGAUCAUUACCGAGUGCAAACUCAUAACCCUUUGUGAACCUAUAUCUGUGGCUUCGGCGGCUCGCUCUCGGGCGAACCCGCCGGUAAUAUCAGUAUCUCUGUUUGAACCCGACGAUACUUCUGAGUGUUCUUAGCGAACAGUUAAAACUUUUAACAACGGAUCUCUUGGCUCUA
rnacentral:misc_RNA from 1 species